GAUGAACGCUGGCGGCGUGCCUAAUACAUGCAAGUCGAGCGCAGGGGGGGCGGGUGCGUACCAGGUGGCUAACCUCCUAUACCAAUGGAAUAACGUCGGGAAACCGGGGCUAAACCGGCUACUUGUGUAUGGCUCCGCGCUGCAUUAGCUAGUGGGUAAGGUAACGGCUUACAAAGGCAACGAUGCAUAGCCGACCUGAGAGGGUGAUCGGCCACACUGGAACUGAGACACGGCCCAGACUCCUACGGGAGGCAGCAGUAGGGAAUCUUCGGCAAUGGGCGAAAGUCUGACGGAGCAACGCCGCGUGAGUGAUGAAGGUUUUCGGAUCGUAAAACUCUGUUAUUAGGGAAGCGGUACCUAAUCAGAAAGCCACGGCUAACUACGUGCCAGCAGCCGCGGUAAUUC
rnacentral:rRNA from 1 species